AGAGUUCGAUUCUGGCUCAGGACGAACGCUGGCGGCGUGCUUAACACAUGCAAGUCGAACGGGGUUACCGGAGGAGUAAUCUGAGGGUAACCUAGUGGCGGACGGGUGCGUAACGCGUGAACAAUCUGUCUUUGCGAGGGGGAUAACAUCUGGAAACAGAUGCUAAUACCGCAUGAGACCACAGCACUGCAUGGUGCAGGGGUCAAAGGAGGAAUCCGCGCAGAGGUGAGUUCGCGUCCUAUUAGAUAGUUGGUGAGGUAACGGCCCACCAAGUCGACGAUAGGUAGCCGAUCUGAGAGGAUGACCGGCCACACUGGAACUGAGAGACGGUCCAG
rnacentral:rRNA from 1 species